GCGUAACGCGUGGGAAUCUGCCCUUGGGUUCGGAAUAACAGUUGGAAACGACUGCUAAUACCGGAUGAUGACGAAAGUCCAAAGAUUUAUCGCCCAGGGAUGAGCCCGCGUAGGAUUAGCUAGUUGGUGAGGUAAAGGCUCACCAAGGCGACGAUCCUUAGCUGGUCUGAGAGGAUGAUCAGCCACACUGGGACUGAGACACGGCCCAGACUCCUACGGGAGGCAGCAGUAGGGAAUAUUGGACAAUGGGCGAAAGCCUGAUCCAGCAAUGCCGCGUGAGUGAUGAAGGCCUUAGGGUUGUAA
rnacentral:rRNA from 1 species